CGUCUUCCUGUAAUAACACGCGUUUAAUAAAUAAGCUUCGAAAAUGUUCAAGAGAAAAACAAAAAUCACACUUUUCAUUGAAUUCACGUUAACGUAUAAAAUUACGAAGAAAAAGGAAGGCCAUGUAAACAAACGUGUAGUACUUGUGUUUUCAUUCUCGUUCGUAAGAACGCUCGAUCGUUCAGUAUGUUUUUGAUCUUUCGACGGUGAGAACGACGUGUCCUUCUUUCGUUCAUCUUUGCUCUUCCUUUUUGACGAAUCUAUCUCGACUAACCCGUACAAACGAUUUGGAUCAUUUAAACGAUUCGCAGCCCGAUCUAUCCACUUCAAUUCGUCUCGAGCUUUCAAGAUAUUCUUCAAGAAGGAACGCAAUGCAGGACUGUCAGACUCGUUCGUAAUAUUUGCCGAGCGAUGAUCUGCAGAAUCGAUCGAUUGACUUUGAUCGAUCUAAAAAAAAAAAAAAAAAAAAAGAAAAAAAAGCAAAGUAAACAAACAAAAAAGAUAUUAA